rnacentral:rRNA from 1 species
CCUACGGGAGGCUGCAGUGAGGAAUAUUGGUCAAUGGACGAGAGUCUGAACCAGCCAAGUAGCGUGAAGGAUGACUGCCCUAUGGGUUGUAAACUUCUUUUAUAUGGGAAUAAAACGUUCCACGUGUGGGAUUUUGUAUGUACCAUAUGAAUAAGGAUCGGCUAACUCCGUGCCAGCAGCCGCGGUAAUACGGAGGAUCCGAGCGUUAUCCGGAUUUAUUGGGUUUAAAGGGAGCGUAGGUGGAUUGUUAAGUCAGUUGUGAAAGUUUGCGGCUCAACCGUAAAAUUGCAGUUGAAACUGGCAGUCUUGAGUACAGUAGAGGUGGGCGGAAUGCGUGGUGUAGUGGUGAAAUACUUAGAUAUCACGAAGAACUCCGAUUGCGAAGGCAGUUCACUGGACUGCAACUGACACUGAGGCUCGAAAGUGUGGGUAUCAAACAGGAUUAGAUACCCCAGUAGUC